rfam:Struthio camelus australis contig22450, whole genome shotgun sequence.
CUUGCAUUUGUGAGGACAGGAGCAUAAACUAUGACCUAGGGGCUUCUGUUUGAUGCUAGCAAC